rnacentral:rRNA from 1 species
ACUGAACGCUGGCGGCAGGCCUAACACAUGCACGUCGAGCGGAGCGACGGACGGGCGGGUAAUGCCUACGAAGCUGCCCGGCAGAGGGGGAGAACGUCAGGAAACGGGCGCUGAGCCCGCAUCCUCUCAGAUGGGCCUCGGUCGGAUUAGCUAGUUGCUUGGGUAAAGGCCUACCAAGGCGACGAUCCGUAACUGGUCUGAGAGGAUGAUCAGUCACACUGGAACUGAGACACGGUCCAGACUCCUACGGGAGGCAGCAGUGGUGAAUAUUGGACAAUGGGCGCAAGCCUGAUCCAGCCAUGCCGCGUGUGUGAAGAAGGUCUUCGGAUUGUAAAGCUCUUUAAGUUGGGAGGCGUUACCAACAGAAUAAGCACCGGCUAACUUCGUGCCAGCCGCCGCGGUAAUUC